rnacentral:rRNA from 1 species
GAUGAACGCUGGCGGCGUGCCUAAUACAUGCAAGUCGAGCGAACGGACGAGAAGCUUGCUUCUCUGAUGUUAGCGGCGGACGGGUGAGUAACACGUGGAUAACCUACCUAUAAGACUGGGAUAACUUCGGGAAACCGGAGCUCAUACCGGAUAAUAUUUUGAACCGCAUUGUUCAAAAGUGAAAGACGGUCUUGCUGUCACUUAUAGAUGGAUCCGCGCUGCAUUAGCUAGUUGGUAAGGUAACGGCUUACCAAGGCAACGAUGCAUAGCCGACCUGAGAGGGUGAUCGGCCACACUGGAACUGAGACACGGUCCAGACUCCUACGUGAGGCAGCAGUAGGGAAUCUUCCGCAAUGGGCGAAAGCCUGACGGAGCAACGCCGCGUGAGUGAUGAAGGUCUUCGGAUCGUAAAACUCUGUUAUUAGGGAAGAACAUAUGUGUAAGUAACUGUGCACAUCUUGACGGUACCUAAUCAGAAAGCCACGGCUAACUACGUG